GACGAACGCUGGCGGCGUGCUUAACACAUGCAAGUCGAACGGAAAGGCCCUGCUUUUGUGGGGUGCUCGAGUGGCGAACGGGUGAGUAACACGUGAGUAACCUGCCCUUGACUUUGGGAUAACUUCAGGAAACUGGGGCUAAUACCGGAUAGGAGCUCCUGCUGCAUGGUGGGGGUUGGAAAGUUUCGGCGGUUGGGGAUGGACUCGCGGCUUAUCAGCUUGUUGGUGGGGUAGUGGCUUACCAAGGCUUUGACGGGUAACCGGCCUGAGAGGGUGACCGGCCACAUUGGGACUGAGAUACGGCCCAGACUCCUACGGGAGGCAGCAGUGGGGAAUAUUGCACAAUGGGCGGAAGCCUGAUGCAGCAACGCCGCGUGCGGGAUGACGGCCUUCGGGUUGUAAACCGCUUUCGCCUGUGACGAAGCGUGAGUGACGGUAAUGGGUAAAGAAACACCGGCUAACUACGUG
rnacentral:rRNA from 1 species